AUAUUUAAUAAUUUUGAUUACGAUGUUUCAUUUUCAUCUUCAAAUCCCUCAAACGCUCCUUUUCCUUUUCUUUCCAUCUAAACUUGAACCAAAUUUAACUACUUCCACUGUAUUUGGUCCUCACCUCCAUGGUUUUUUGUGCCUAAUCCUUCUUGGUUUUUACUGUUUUUCCAUCCACAUUGAAUUCAACUCUAAUUCACUGAUUUUGGUGAUUUGAUGGGAUCGCUUGUAAAGGUACUACGAAUAAUACUCCAAAAGUCCGUUUGUUUCCCCUUUAUUUAUUAACUCAGGUUUUGAUCCUUGAGAGAGAGAGAGAGAGUGAGAGAGAGAGAGAGAUUGUACUAUAUAAAUCAAAGGUUGGUUUAAGAGAGUGGAGCCUGUAGGUGAAGAAGAUGAAGAGAUGGCGAUUAUGGGGUUGUUUCAAACGCUCAUUCCUCUUCCCCACUAAGCUGUUUUUCCUCAGACUAAACUCACACCUUCUCCAUAAGCCUAAAGGCAAUGGGAAUGCGCUACUAAGCCUCUACAAGGAUAUAGAGUCUUGCGGAGAGUACAGAGAUAUCCAAGUAAUGUGGGAUAUGAUUCAGUCCCACAAUGUCCAUGAAAACACAAGUAGAAGCUUAAGAAGAUGAUGAGAAGAGCUUUGGAUAGAUACCUGUUUUUUGAUUUCAUGGACAUUUGCAGCACAACCCUGCUGAUGUUGUUCAUAAUCUGCCAGGAAAGUUUGGUAAUUGUUUGGUUUUUACUCAUCAGUUGAAGAUGUUAACUGCGUGGGUUUUGGUCUGUUUUCUUGUUGUGUGGAUGGUCUGAUUUUUUGAUAAAAUUGGUCCUUGUUUUUAGCCAUUCAUUUGCAGAUACCACAUUGGACAAGAAUGUAAAGCCAAAAGCUUAUUUUGGGAGGAAACUAUUAGCUAUUAUACUUAUUAUAUUACAGAAUCAAAUUUAAUGAUUUAUAUCAUAUAUGUGUGCAUGCACCUACUUUUAAA